ACUCCUACGGGAGGCAGCAGUGGGGAAUAUUGCACAAUGGGCGAAAGCCUGAUGCAGCGACGCCGCGUGAGGGAUGACGGCCUUCGGGUUGUAAACCUCUUUCAGCAGGGAAGAAGCGCAAGUGACGGUACCUGCAGAAGAAGCACCGGCUAACUACGUGCCAGCAGCCGCGGUAAUACGUAGGGUGCGAGCGUUGUCCGGAUUUAUUGGGCGUAAAGAGCUCGUAGGCGGCUUGUCGCGUCGGAUGUGAAAGCCCGGGGCUUAACUCCGGGUCUGCAUUCGAUACGGGCAGGCUAGAGUGUGGUAGGGGAGAUCGGAAUUCCUGGUGUAGCGGUGAAAUGCGCAGAUAUCAGGAGGAACACCGGUGGCGAAGGCGGAUCUCUGGGCCAUUACUGACGCUGAGGAGCGAAAGCGUGGGGAGCGAACAGGAUUAGAUACCCUGGUAGUCCACGCCGUAAACGUUGGGAACUAGGUGUGGGUCACAUUCCACGUGGUCCGCGCCGCAGCUAACGCAUUAAGUUCCCCGCCUGGGGAGUACGGCCGCGAGGCUAAAACUCAAAGGAAUUGACGGGGGCCCGCACAAGCAGCGGAGCAUGUGGCUUAAUUCGACGCAACGCGAAGAACCUUACCAAGGCUUGACAUAUACCGGAAACGUGCAGAGAUGUACGCCCCCUUGUGGUCGUAUACAGGUGGUGCAUGGUUGUCGUCAGCUCGUGUCGUGAGAUGUUGGGUUAAGUCCCGCAACGAGCGCAACCCUCGUUCUGUGUUGCCAGCUGGUGAUGGGGACUCACAGGAGACUGCCGGGGUCAACUCGGA
rnacentral:rRNA from 1 species